CGGGGCAUAGCGCAGGCUGGUAGCGCGCUUGGUUCGGGACCAAGAGGUCGCCGGUUCAAGUCCGGCUGCCCCGA
rnacentral:tRNA from 2 species